rnacentral:rRNA from 1 species
GACGAACGCUGGCGGCGUGCUUAACACAUGCAAGUCGAACGGAAAGGCCCUGCUUUUGUGGGGUGCUCGAGUGGCGAACGGGUGAGUAACACGUGAGUAACCUGCCCUUGACUUUGGGAUAACUUCAGGAAACUGGGGCUAAUACCGGAUAGGAGCUCCUGCUGCAUGGUGGGGGUUGGAAAGUUUCGGCGGUUGGGGAUGGACUCGCGGCUUAUCAGCUUGUUGGUGGGGUAGUGGCUUACCAAGGCUUUGAAGGGUAGCCGGCCUGGGAGGGUGACCGGCCACAUUGGGACUGAGAUGCGGCCCAGACUCCUACGGGAGGCAGCAGUGGGGAAUAUUGCACAAUGGGCGGAAGCCUGAUGCAGCAACGCCGCGUGCGGGAUGACGGCCUUCGGGUUGUAAACCGCUUUCGCCUGUGACGAAGCGUGAGUGACGGUAAUGGGUAAAGAAGCACCGGCUAACUACGUG